ensembl:lncRNA
UUUCCACUGCCUUCAAUAUUUUUUCAUUCCAAUUACAUGCAGUGAAUCAAACGCUUGCUAUGGUGAAAUGUGACUGAAACCCUCCGCAGAGCCAAGAGCCGCUGGAGAACCCAGCUCCGAUAAGUGCCAGUGGAUUCCCCACACAGUGAAGCGACUGCACAGAAGAAUCCCUCCUGCCAUAUGGAAUUUUGUCAGCUCAUCAUGCCUUCCUUAAAGCCAAGGUUUGGGAAGAAUCGCUGUUGUCACAGUUGAGGAUGAGAUUUUUAUCCGCAGCAAGGCUGAGGAUGCUAGAUUAUACAACUUCUUCCAGGAAUAUCUGUCUGUGUAACUACAGGAAAAAUUUUUCGUCAGCCAAAGGAAUGGAUCUGUAGUGGAUCUAAAAUUUGGUCUGCAAAACUAGAGUGCAAGAAAUAUCACAUUUAUUUCUUGUCUUCCUUGGCUUCACGUGCACUUUUCUCUGAGAUGGCGAGAAAUCCAAUCCCUGUCAGCACUGGGGCUUUAGUUACACCUCCCCAGUCAUGCAAAAUUCCCUGUCAUCAUCUGGAUUUGACAAUGUUAGGAGAAGGCCCUGGUCUUCUGUCCCACGUGGUCAUCACUGCUGUGCUUGCUUCCCAACCCCAAGAUGCCCCCCAGAGGCGCGGAAUUCCUCAGCUUCAAGCCAAGCCUAGGCUCCCAGGAGCUCGGGUGUUAUAUCUUCCCAUCCCACCCCCACACCACAGAGAAAUCUCCUUUUGGGGGCUCUGUGAAUAAGUGUGCAAUAGAGAGAAGAGUCUGGCACAUUCCCCAGUUUCCUUUCCUCCUUUGAGCCCUGUCAGUUCUUCCUUUUGAACUCCAAGCAGUACAAUUCAUCUGCCCACUCCUCUUCCAGAAGCAUCCAGUGUCGCCAGUCUGAGUUUUCACAACGGAGCACUAAGCAUCAAAGAA